UGACCUUGUGAUUCGCCCACCUCAGCCUCCCAAAGUGCUGGGAUUAUAGGUGUGAGCCACCGCGACUGGCCUUACACCAUGUUUUCUUAAUGUCAGCACAACUGGCAUUUGGGCUGGAUGAUGCUGUGAUUUGUGGGGGCUGCCCUGUGCCCUGCAGGGUGCUUGGUGCCCCCCCUCCCCCAGCCUCCACCCACUGGAUACCAGUAGCAUCUGCCCCUCCACUGUGACGACCAAAACUGUCUCCAGAUGCACUAGAUGCUCCCUUGGGAACAAAAGCCCUGGGUGAGAACAAUUGACCUAAAUGGAUUUCAUCUCUGUAGGUGGGAUGCCAGGAAGUGUGAUUAAGCAAAAGCCUGGUCUCCAGGAUGGGGCCAGCUCGUCCGAGCCGCAGGGAUGGACACAUCAUGCUCUCUUCAACUCAACCAGUGGGAGGAUCUGAGAGACCAGGGAAGAGGGGCGUGUCGGAGCCAGAAGUGGACUUACCCGGGCACCUUCCUGCACGAGACCAGGGAAGAGGGGCGUGUCCGAGCCGGGAACUGCACUCACCUGGGCACCUUCCUGCACGAGACCAGGGAAGAGGGGCGUGUCCGAGCCGGGAACUGCACUCACCCGGGCACCUUCCUGCCCUCCUCCUGACGCCCUCAGAAUGAGGCUCUCCCUGUCCCCAUCCCCACCCUCCCGUGAGGUGGGGGCCGAUCCUCUCCACUUGUCUGAGGAGCAUGAGGUUCUAUCUCACUUGGGCAACUACAACAAAGUACCUACGGCUCGGGGGCUUAAACAACAGAAAUUUAUUUCUCACAGUUCUGGAAGCCAGAGGUCAAGAUCCAGGUGCGGGCAGACUCGGUUCCUGUGAGCGCCGGCUUCCUGGCUUGCUGACGAUGCCUUCCCAUGUCCCCACGUGGCACGAAGCAGAGAACAGGACCCAGCGCUCGUGUCUCUUCCCCUGAGGGUGCUGGUCCUGUUCCGAGGGCUCCACCCACCUGACCCAGCCGCCCCCAAAGGCCCCCUCUCCUAACACCAUCGCACUGGAGGGCGGGUUUCAGCAUGUGGAUUCUGGGGGCACAUCCAGUCCACGCAGCCCUGAGUGGUUGCCUGGCCUGCUGAAAGCCACUCAGCUCGGGCAGGCCCACGGUGGCUGCCUGCAGGCCAUGCCCUGCAGCCCACACCAGCGCCACCCUCUACAGGGGCUGAGGCAGAGCCUGCUGGGUGCCGAGGGUGGUGCCCUCGUGUUUGCUGGUGAGGUGGGGCAGCAGGCCGCCUGCAGAGCCUCAGGACUGGCCAGGCUCCAGCUUUGUGCAGCCCCUGCUGUGCUGCUUGGAGAACCCAGCCUUUCUGAACCAUCCACCUGGUGUGGCGUUAGGUGACUUUGUUCCGGAUGCGGCGUGGGGAGGGCUGUGACAGCCCAUGGGCCUUGCCAAGGCUGGGCGGCCCUGCCCAAAGCCUACUGGACAACUGGCCAAGCAAGGCCCUGCCCUGAACCACACAAGCCCCAGGCCAGUGACUGAGGCCACAUCUGGCUGGAGGCUCCAGCGACGUCCAGACCCAGGUCAAAGUGGCCAUCUGUCAUCUGACAGGUUGACACGCACCUUCCUUGGGCCGAGUGUCUGUGCCCGCCCCCCUGCCCCGCACUCAGUGUGCAGUAGGCCAGCGGUCCCAGGCAAAGCAGUUUCCUGUUGGGAUGAGGAUCAGCUCCAGAGAAGGUGAGGAGGGGUCCCCGUGUCAGGGCCUCCCUGAGAAGACGCAGUGUCUGCCAUCCUGGUGGGCAGAGGGGACAGCACACGCAAGUGCUCAGGGAAGUGGGGGUGGCCGUGUGCCCAGGCAGGGAGGACGGGGGCAGAGGGGCCGGUGGUCCUGGAGCAUGUGGCAGGGCCAGGUCUCAGGAGCGAGGAGGCCUCGAGGAGGAAAGUGUGUGGGUAGUGUCGAGGUGCCAGGGAGUCUGGGUGUGUAGAUCCACGGUGGGGCCUGGGUCUCUCCCACGAGUGAGCUCGGGGCCUGCGUUCCUCACGAUGGAUCUGCCACAGCACGAAGACGACUGUCACAGCUUCUCCAUGUGGCUGAAGGCGUAGGAGGGGGCGCGUGGGAGGCCACUUGUGACACCUGUGGACCGGAGAUGACAACAUACGGGGUUUGGGGAUGUCGAUGAUGAGGUCCCGGAGCUACAGUUCGAUUUCUGCCCUUUCCGGAUGCCUCCAGAGCCACCGUCGCUCCCCAGCCUGUUCCUGCCGUCACAGGGUCUCUCUUACCGAAGCUGGAGUGCAGUGGUGCCAUCAUGCCAUCACUGCAGCCGGGACCUCCUGGAUUAAAGCGGUUCUCCCACCUCAGCCUCCUGGGCAGCUAGGAUCACAGGCAGGCCACCCAGCCCAGAUGAUUUUCGCAGUUUUGUAGAGACAGGGUUUCUGUGUUGCCCAGGCUGGUCUCAAACUCUUGGACUCAAGCAGUCUGCCCACCUCAGCCUCCCAAAGCUCUGGACUUACAGGCAUAAGUCGCCUGGCCUGGCCUCGGUUUUUCACUUUUGGUCCCACCAUUCCAGUGCCGAGCCUGUGAGACUGGAGUCAUGACCCAGCAGGACUGCACCUGCACCUGAGGGGGAGCAGAGGUGGGCUCUGGAGGGCUGCUCUGUGACCUGUACUGUAUAGGCAAGGUUACCCUAUGGGUUCUCCCUGGCAGUGACCCAGACGUGCUUGUUUGUCCUCUAACAACCAUCGACUCUGGGCCCCUCUCUGCGCCAGGCUUCAGGGAGGACAGUGGGAGAAGCCCCAGGGGACCCGGGCAGCAGGCGGCCGCAGUCCCUGUGGUUCGCUUUCUGCCGGCGUGGGGGAGACCAAAAGAGGACUCUGGGGACAGAUGAACUGGCCUCGAUCGGCAGGAGCAGCCAGUCCUGGCAGUGCAGCCUUCAUGUUCUCUGGUCGUUUGGUGCAGCCCAGUGACGUGGGAGGCUGGGGAGGCCUCGAGGUUACCUCCCUGGAGGAGAUCAGAGAAUGGGCUGGGCUUGCAGGUUCCGGCGAGAGGACGGUGCUGGAGGUGCUGAAGGGACAGCGCCCGUGUGGAAUCCGCUGCCACCCUGGCCGCCUGGGUGAGGACCAACUGUCUCCCCCGCUGGAGCUGGGCGCCACGUACGUCUGAAUUCUGCUCAUCCUCUCUGGAGUCCUGUCGAUGCAGUCUUGGCAAAGAUUGCUUGAGCCUGAAUGCUUUUCCCAUCUAUUUUUAAAUAAAUGGAAUUCCUCAUGCUUGGAUGAAAUUUA